GAGAAAUACCCAAGCGGUUGAAGGGGUCGGUCUUGAAAACCGAUAGUAGGUGCAAGCCUAGCGAGGGUUCGAAUCCCUCUUUCUCC
rnacentral:tRNA from 1 species